rnacentral:miRNA from 1 species
UUAGGCGGCAACCCGCUCAGUUU